rnacentral:rRNA from 1 species
AACGAACGCUGGCGGCAUGCCUAACACAUGCAAGUCGAACGAGACCUUCGGGUCUAGUGGCGCACGGGUGCGUAACGCGUGGGAACCUGCCCUUAGGUUCGGAAUAACUCCCCGAAAGGGGUGCUAAUACCGGAUAAUGUCUUCGGACCAAAGAUUUAUCGCCUUUGGAUGGGCCCGCGUUGGAUUAGCUAGUUGGUAGGGUAAAAGCCUACCAAGGCGACGAUCCAUAGCUGGUCUGAGAGGAUGAUCAGCCACACUGGGACUGAGACACGGCCCAGACUCCUACGGGAGGCAGCAGUGGGGAAUAUUGGACAAUGGGCGAAAGCCUGAUUCAGCAAUGCCGCGUGAGUGAUGAAGGCCUUAGGGUUGUAAAGCUCUUUUACCCGGGAUGAUAAUGACAGUACCGGGAGAAUAAGCUCCGGCUAACUCCGU